rnacentral:rRNA from 1 species
CAGUAGCCGCGGUAAUACGGAGGGCGCGAGCGUUACCCGGAUUUACUGGGCGUAAAGGGCGUGUAGGCGGCCUGGGGCGUCCCAUGUGAAAGGCCACGGCUCAACCGUGGAGGAGCGUGGGAUACGCUCAGGCUAGAGGGUGGGAGAGGGUGGUGGAAUUCCCGGAGUAGCGGUGAAAUGCGCAGAUACCGGGAGGAACGCCGACGGCGAAGGCAGCCACCAGGUCCACUUCUAACGCUGAGGCGCGAAAGCGUGGGGAGCAAACCGGAUUAGAUACCCCCGUAGUCCCUGUCUCUUAUAC